ACCUUGCUAAGGAGUGCCACGUAGCACGAAACCCGGGUCCAAGAU
rfam:Schistosoma haematobium scaffold13_36, whole genome shotgun sequence.